rnacentral:lncRNA from 1 species
UCAGGAGAUCGAGACCAUUCUAGCGAAUACGGUGAAACCCUGUCUCUACCAAAAACAACAAAAAAAAAAAUUAGCCAGGCGUAGUGGCGGGUGCCUAUAGUCCCAGCUACUCAGGAGGGUGAGGCAGGAGAAUGGCGUGAACCCAGGAGGCGGAGCUUGCGAAGUGAGCCUAGAUCAUACCACUGCACUCCAGCCUGGGCGAUUGAGCGAGACUCUGUCUCCAAAAGAAAAAAAAAAGAAAAAAAGAAAAUUCAAAUUGCUACAUCAGUCUUCAACAGUUUCUGAUGUGCUGGAAGAAAGAUAAUUACUCUUUGGAAUGCGCAUAUAUAUAAUUUCUGCUCUGAAAGCGUCCCAAUGUAACUAUGAGGCGAAGUCAAAGAACUUGUUUCUCGCAUCAUCCCUGUUACUGCUUGAGACACCAGAGAGAGUUUAAUGUAAGUCAGAAGUCUUCUUUCAUCUUAUGGCUGUGCAAUCUGGAAUAUGA